AGGUUGAUGCCCGAGUGGAUAAAGGGAGUGGAUUGUAAAUCCAUUGUUUUAUACUACAUUGGUUCAAAUCCAAUUCAAUCUA
rnacentral:tRNA from 1 species